UAUCCCUGGUAGUCCACGCCGUAAACGAUGUCGACUAGCCGUUGGUAUCCUUGAGAUCUGACUUCCGCAGCUAACGCGAUAAGUCGACCGCCUGGGGAGUACGGCCGCAAGGUUAAAACUCAAAUGAAUUGACGGGGGCCCGCACAAGCGGUGGAGCAUGUGGUUUAAUUCGAAGCAACGCGAAGAACCUUACCUGGCCUUGACAUGCUGAGAACUUUCCAGAGAUGGAUUGGUGCCUUCGGGAACUCAGACACAGGUGCUGCAUGGCUGUCGUCAGCUCGUGUCGUGAAAUGUUGGGUUAAGUCCCGUAACGAGCGCAACCCUUGUCCUUAGUUACCAGCACCUCGGGUGGCACUCUAUGAGUGCCGUUC
rnacentral:rRNA from 1 species